AUUUCAAAGCUUGCUUUGAAGAUGACGAGUGGCGGACCGGUGAGUAAUGCUUGGGAAUUUGCCUUUAGGUGGGGGACAACAGUUGGAAACGACUGCUAAUACCGCAUAAUUGCUACGGCACAAAGGGGGCUUCGGCUCUCGCCUUUAGAGAAGCCCAAGUGGGAUUAGGUAGUUGGUGAGGUAAAGGCUCACCAAGCCGACGAUCCCUAGCUGGUCUGAGAGGAUGAUCAGCCACACUGGAACUGAGACACGGUCCAGACUCCUACGGGAGGCAGCAGUGGGGAAUAUUGCACAAUGGGCGCAAGCCUGAUGCAGCCAUGCCGCGUGUGUGAAGAAGGCCUUCGGGUUGUAAAGCACUUUCAGUCGUGAGGAAGGGUUAGUAGUUAAUACCUGCUAGCUUUGACGUUAGCGACAGAAGAAGCACCGGCUAACUCCGUGCCAGCAGCCGCGGUAAUACGGAGGGUGCGAGCGUUAAUCGGAAUUACUGGGCGUAAAGCGUACGCAGGCGGCUAAGUAAGUCAGAUGUGAAAGCCCCGGGCUCAACCUGGGAACUGCAUUUGAAACUGCUUGGCUAGAGUGCGACAGAGGGUGGUAGAAUUUCAGGUGUAGCGGUGAAAUGCGUAGAGAU
rnacentral:rRNA from 1 species